rnacentral:rRNA from 3 species
UGGGGAAUAUUGCACAAUGGGCGAAAGCCUGAUGCAGCGACGCCGCGUGAGGGAUGACGGCCUUCGGGUUGUAAACCUCUUUCAGCAGGGACGAAGCGCAAGUGACGGUACCUGCAGAAGAAGCACCGGCUAACUACGUGCCAGCAGCCGCGGUAAUACGUAGGGUGCAAGCGUUGUCCGGAAUUACUGGGCGUAAAGAGUUCGUAGGCGGUUUGUCGCGUCGUUUGUGAAAACCAGCAGCUCAACUGCUGGCUUGCAGGCGAUACGGGCAGACUUGAGUACUGCAGGGGGGACUGGAAUUCCUGGUGUAGCGGUGAAAUGCGCAGAUAUCAGGAGGAACACCGGUGGCGAAGGCGGGUCUCUGGGCAGUAACUGACGCUGAGGAACGAAAGCGUGGGUAGCGAACAGG